AACAGUAGAUGACGAUUCCUUGCCUUGAAGAAGUAAUGGCCUACGUUGUCGAACAUUCAGACCCACUGGAGGCGUUCUACAGCCUGGAGCCCGCUGAUAAGGAUUUUGAUGCGACUUGACUGGAAUUGCACCCACAGCCUUUUGUCAGGCCUGUGACAGGCUGACUGUGGUUGCAAGAUGUUAGCCGAAGCCCCACACCAUGAUUAGGGCAUUGGUUCUUGGUCAUCGGUUACCUUAAAGAGGUACCACAGCCUGGCGUUAUUCUCCGUUGACGAUAGAUCCCUGCAAAGUGUACUUGACUGGCUGCACCUGUCUAACACGACUGCAACCAGCAGCUGGAGUGGGUGCUGCAUGGUGUUCAAAGCACAUGUCCAUUACCCGGAGCCAGUGCCCGUCAGUGGUGUAACUACCAUUCUCAUCAAACAUCACAAGCUGCUUGGAGUUCCAGUUUUGACGAAACUUGCUGGUCUCUAGGAUUCUUAAUCCUAGUAUUUGCUUCCUACACCAGCCACAGUGUUUUUCUUCCCUCGUUCCUUUUUUUCAUCCUUUUUCUUGUGUGUUAACCUUUCAGUGGACCCUGCAAUGCAUUUCAACAAAAUACAGGCAUUCUGGUCUGUUUGCAUCCGCAGCAGGUACACUGGGAACCAUGUGGAGAUUGUGGGUCGAUAUUUAGUGCAUCUGGGUGGCAUCCCACUAAGGCUUUCGAGCACCCAGGGCAUGAUACGAACCCCGAGCACGGAAAGACGGCUCUUUUCUGCAAAUGCUCCUCUGCAGCCCGUUUCCGCAUUCACACACAUUAUGGCUGUUUUAGCUCCGUUAGUGCUUGCUGUCGCAGACAGUAUUGUCCGGUGCUACUGCUAGCUCAAAUGGCAUGGAAUGACGGUUCUCAUCACUCGUCAAUGACAAUGGCUUCUUACAAACCCGGCUGCCGCGCUUCUUUGAGAAUAUUUUAAACUUCAAUGUACUCCUGAAUGAUCGGAUAUGCGGAGCCGGCUAGCAGUGUCUGCUCUAUGAUUUCACACGACUACUGCAGUUCAUUCUUCCAAACUCAAUGUUUUAAGAGUUCCACAUGUUUCCUGAAACCAUGUUUUCGACGAAAUUCACCACGAUAUUCCCCGAAAUCAAUGAUUGGGGCACUGAAAGCUGCUUUACCCCUGUGUACUGUACUCUGUAGCUCACUCCAUAUUGGCAUAUUCACCUACAUACAAUUUCCCAUCUACAUAAGUAGUGAAUAUUGCUCAAUAUUCACCGCUAUAGGUGUUCAUACUGUGAAUCAUUAUUCAUCAUGGUUAUACAAUAAGCGUGAACAAGGCGA